AGUGAACGCUGGCGGUAGGCCUAACACAUGCAAGUCGAACGGCAGCACAGUAAGAGCUUGCUCUUACGGGUGGCGAGUGGCGGACGGGUGAGGAAUACAUCGGAAUCUACUUUUUCGUGGGGGAUAACGUAGGGAAACUUACGCUAAUACCGCAUACGACCUACGGGUGAAAGCAGGGGAUCUUCGGACCUUGCGCGAUUGAAUGAGCCGAUGUCGGAUUAGCUAGUUGGCGGGGUAAAGGCCCACCAAGGCGACGAUCCGUAGCUGGUCUGAGAGGAUGAUCAGCCACACUGGAACUGAGACACGGUCCAGACUCCGACGGGAGGCAGCAGUGGGGAAUAUUGGACAAUGGGCGGAAGCCUGAUCCAGCCAUACCGCGUGGGUGAAGAAGGCCUUCGGGUUGUAAAGCCCUUUUGUUGGGAAAGAAAAGCAGCAGGUUAAUACCCCGCUGUUCUGACGGUACCCAAAGAAUAAGCACCGGCUAACUUCGUG
rnacentral:rRNA from 1 species